rnacentral:rRNA from 1 species
GACGAACGCUGGCGGCGUGCUUAACACAUGCAAGUCGAACGGAAAGGCCCUGCUUGCAGGGUACUCGAGUGGCGAACGGGUGAGUAACACGUGGGUGAUCUGCCCUGCACUUCGGGAUAAGCCUGGGAAACUGGGUCUAAUACCGGAUAGGAGCCAUUUUUAGUGUGAUGGUUGGAAAGUUUUUUCGGUGUAGGAUGAGCUCGCGGCCUAUCAGCUUGUUGGUGGGGUAAUGGCCUACCAAGGCGGCGACGGGUAGCCGGCCUGGGAGGGUGGACGGCCACAUUGGGACUGAGAUACGGCCCAGGCUCCUACGGGAGGGAGCAGUGGGGAAGAUUGCACAAUGGGCGCAAGCCUGAUGCAGCGAGGCCGCGUGGGGGAUGACGGCCUUCUGGUUGUAAACUACUUGCGCUAGGGACGAAGCUUUUUGUGACGGUACCUAGAGAAGAAGCACCGGCUAACUACGUG